UUGAGGCUUUUUCUUUCACUGUCUCAGUCUAAUAUUCAUUUUGUUUAUGUUCUUAAGUCUAAGUAUUUUCCACUGUUUAGUUCUUGUGUUUUGGACUCCUGUUCUCCUGGAGCUUUCUGGAUAUUGGAUAUUUUAUUUUUUACCUUCCGCCUGCCCAGUGGAUAUACUGUAUAUGUCUGCUUUGAAAUGACUUCCUGAUUUUGACCCUUGCCUUCCCAAUCAACGGAUUGAACAGAAGAAUGAUCAGUGGUGGUCUCUGGCUGCUUCGAGGGGCUGGGACUCUCCAGCCGUGACCUUCUACUACUAAAGGGUUGGCACAAAUGAACCAACUCAUGAGACACGAUUAGACGGAGAGAGGGAGAUACGGGGAGACGAAGCAGAGCUCCAUCAUCAUUAUUCCACCGCAUCCCCCGGAGGAGCGAGACAGAGCCGAGACCGAGGCCGGACCGGGCUGAGGGGGGAAAACAGUGUAGAACCAGAGCACCAGGACCUGGGAAUGCACACAAGUGAUAUUUGUGUGCAGCAGAUCAAAAAGCGUUUACCUUUAGAUGUUUCCCUGAUAUGAAUAUUCAACAUCCUUAUUGAAAUCUAAUUUGGGUCUCCUUGUCUCAGGGGUCUUUUCAUCAGUGCCUGUUGCCUGAGGCCACAGCUGAUUGACAGCCAAACUUUAGUAAAGAGCAAGCAGGAAAAAAGGGGAGAUCUGGUGGUGUUGGAGAUGUGAGCGGUGUGAAGCCAGGGAGUGCUGGAGCAGAUGAG